CGUCCGGUUGUUGCCUGAGCAGUGGCGCCGUCCCCUCGCUUUUCUUUGUGCGCGCUGCUACUGCCUGGGCGUGCGUUCGGCUUUUUUCGCCAUUUUUGCCUUUUUCUGUGUGGCGCGUUGGAAGGCCGCGAAGACGCAAUCAAGGAACGUGUGGGCAUCGAGCUGCAGCCGAAAAUCAACUGCAGCGGGUUAAGCAUGCAGCUGAAGGGGGGCCGGAAGGACUGCCAGCAACGCCGCACCUUGCUGUCAUUGGAUCAAGCAUGGGGGACAUAAAGAAAAUCAUCGUUGCAGUUGAUGCUGUAGAAUUCAUCUCUACAAGAAGUCUUGAGAAGGCCAUGGGCCUCCUCCUAGAUGCCUUCCUUGUUUUCAACGUGGCGUGCCCUCCCGACUGCCCCCUCGCCAUGGAGUUUUCGCAGAGGUACCUGGGGCAGAUCGACCCAACGAAAGGGCGCGGCAAAGGCAGGGCCGGCAGAAUCGCCCCAAAGUUACUCAGCCUGCUGAAAGCACUUUAAUUUAUGAAUAAAUGUGCAAGUAUAGAUGUGCAUUUUUGUUUUUUGUUGCAUGUUUCAUGAGGCACUGCCCACUGCAAGUGACU